rnacentral:rRNA from 1 species
AUUGAACGCUGGCGGCAUGCUUUACACAUGCAAGUCGAACGGCAGCGCGGGCUUCGGCCUGGCGGCGAGUGGCGAACGGGUGAGUAAUGCAUCGGAACGUGCCCAGUAGUGGGGGAUAGCCCGGCGACAGCCGGAUUAAUACCGCAUACGACCUGAGGUUGAAAGCGGGGGACCGAAAGGCCUCGCGCUAUUGGAGCGGCCGAUGUCGGAUUAGCUAGUUGGUGGGGUAAAGGCUUACCAAGGCGACGAUCCGUAGCUGGUCUGAGAGGACGACCAGCCACACUGGGACUGAGACACGGCCCAGACUCCUACGGGAGGCAGCAGUGGGGAAUUUUGGACAAUGGGGGCAACCCUGAUCCAGCCAUGCCGCGUGCGGGAAGAAGGCCUUCGGGUUGUAAACCGCUUUUGUUCGGGAAGAAAUCCUCUGGGCUAAUACCCCGGGGGGAUGACGGUACCGGAAGAAUAAGCACCGGCUAACUACGUG